CGGGCUUGCACUGCGGGGCAGUAGCCAGGACCAGAUCUACUUGCAGGUUGCUGUUCCCAGUCAUGGCUUCGCGCUGCUGGCGCUGGUGGGGCUUGUCGGCGUGGCCUCGGACCCGGCUGCCUCCCGCCGGGAGCACCCCGAGUAGGAGCAGGGCGCCUUUGGGGCUGGAUGGGAGCGCGGGGAGGCCUGCGAGCGCUGAGUAGGGGUCGGAGCAGAGCUGGGGCAGGGUUGGAGAGGGGUGAGACUGAAGGGGUGUCUUCCUGCUGGCGAGAUCGCGGUGGUGUACGGGGGUGGGCGGAGAUCUGUGCGUGAGAUGUGAGGCUUCUAGGGUUAGAGACGGAGGUCAACAAAGGUGAAAAAGAGAGACUUUGAGAUCCACAGGUGUGAGACGGGGUGAAGAAGGGAGGGUGAUACGGAGGUCUGUGGGGCGAGAGGGAAGUCUGAGUCGAAACAGGGAUCUGUAGGAAUAAGACGGGUCUAUAUGGGCAAUAUAGCGUUUUGUGGAGAGAGAGGGGUUAGAGGAGGGACACUGUGGGGAGACCCACGGGGGCGAGAUUGGGAUGAUAUGGAGGCCGUUGGAAAGAUGUGGGAUGCUAGCCGAUUGGAUAGGGAAUGAAGUGUUGUUGGGCAGGCCAUUGGCAGUGGUGUAGUAGGUUCAUGGGUGAAAUGUGAGGCUCUGGAUGAACCCACAGCCUUUGGGGGUUCAGAUGAAGUAAGAGACCCUGCAAAUGCCAAAGCCUUGAGGAACAAGAGAAGGAGGAUGCAGGCUUCCGCCACCAUUUCUCCACACAGGAGAAGACCCCCCAGAUCUGUGUGGUGGGCAGUGGCCCAGCUGGCUUCUACACGGCCCAACACCUGCUAAAGCAGCACCCCCAGGCCCACGUGGACAUCUACGAGAAACAGCCCGUGCCCUUUGGCCUGGUGCGCUUUGGCGUGGCGCCUGAUCACCCCGAGGUGAAGAAUGUCAUCAACACAUUUACCCAGACGGCCCACUCUGGCCGCUGUGCCUUCUGGGGCAACGUGGAGGUGGGCAGGGACGUGACGGUGCCAGAGCUGCGGGAGGCCUACCACGCUGUGGUGCUGAGCUACGGGGCAGAGGACCAUCGGGCCCUGGAAAUUCCUGGUGAGGAGCUGCCAGGUGUAUUCUCCGCCUGGGCCUUCGUGGGUUGGUACAACGGGCUUCCUGAGAACCAGGAGCUGGAACCAGACCUGAGCUGUGACACAGCCGUGAUUCUGGGGCAGGGGAACGUGGCUCUGGACGUGGCCCGCAUCCUACUGACCCCACCUGAGCACCUGGAGAGAACAGACAUCACGAAGGCAGCCCUGGGUGUACUGAGGCAGAGUCGAGUGAAGACAGUGUGGCUAGUGGGCCGGCGUGGACCCCUGCAAGUAGCCUUCACCAUUAAGGAGCUUCGGGAGAUGAUUCAGUUACCGGGAGCCCGGCCCAUUUUGGAUCCUGCAGAUUUCUUGGGUCUCCAGGACAAGAUCAAGGAGGUCCCCCGCCCAAGGAAGCGGCUGACGGAACUGCUGUUUCGAACGGCCACAGAGAAGCCAGGGCCGGAGGAGGCUGUCCGCCAGGCAUCGGCCUCCCGUGCCUGGGGCCUUCGCUUUUUCCGAAGCCCCCAGCAGGUGCUGCCCUCACCAGAUGGGCGGCGGGCAGCAGGUGUCCGCCUAGCAGUCACUAGACUGGAGGGUGUCGAUGAGGCCACCCGUGCAGUGCCCACGGGAGACAUAGAAGACCUCCCUUGUGGGCUGGUGCUCAGCAGCAUUGGGUAUAAGAGCCGCCCUGUCGACCCAAGCGUGCCCUUUGACUCCAAGCUUGGGGUCAUCCCCAAUGUGGAGGGCCGGGUUAUGGAUGUGCCAGGCCUCUACUGCAGCGGCUGGGUGAAGAGAGGACCUACAGGUGUCAUAGCCACAACCAUGACUGACAGCUUCCUCACCGGCCAGAUGCUGCUGCAGGACCUGAAGGCUGGGCUGCUCCCCUCUGGCCCCAGGCCUGGCUACGCAGCCAUCCAGGCCCUGCUCAGCAGCCGAGGGGUCCAGCCAGUCUCUUUCUCAGACUGGGAGAAGCUGGAUGCCGAGGAGGUGGCCCGGGGCCAGGGCACGGGGAAGCCCAGGGAGAAGCUGGUGGAUCCUCAGGAGAUGCUGCGCCUGCUGGGGCACUGAGCCCAGCCCCAGCCCCCGCCUCCAGCAGGGAAGGGAUGAGUGUUGGGAGGGGAAGGGCUGGGUCCGUCCGAGUGGGACUUUGCACCUCUGCUGAUCCCGGCCGGCCCUGGCUUGGAGGCUUGGCUGCUCUUCCAGCGUCUCUCCUCCCUCCUGGGGAAGGUCGCCCUUGCGCGCAGGGUUUUAAGUUUCAGCAACUGAGGUAACCUUAGGGACAGGUGGAGGUGUGGGCCGAUCUAACCCCUUACCCAUCUCUCUACUGCUGGACUGUGGAGGGUCACCAGGUUGAGAACAUGCUGGAAAUAAAACAGCUGCAACCAA
rnacentral:sRNA from 1 species